CGCAUAAAACAAACUGACGGCCAUUUGCACGUGACGUCACUCUCUUCCAAACUCCGCCCACUCCGCCAUGACGGAAAGGUAGUCUAAAAACAGACAUCUGUAAGCUAAUAUCGCUUUUAUUUAGCUGAUUUCACUUUAAGAAUGGUCAUAGGGUGCUGCGCGGUUGGCUGCUGAAACAUACAAGGUUAGAAACCAAACUUGUAAUUUUAUUUUAUGACUUUUAAUGAGGAAAGUUACAGCCGUUAAUAAUACCGGCAGCCCUGAUUUGCUGCGAACACUUUCUACAAGGUUCUUUAUCAGACACGGGAUAAGCUCCGACUCUGCUGACUCUGCUGCCGAGCUGACCACAGCAGAUGGAGGUCAGCGGUGUAUUCCCCCUCCUCUGCUCGCUGCUGCAGCAGUUACACGGUUUAAUAGGAUCUUUCUCCGGCUAACCUACUGGGACCAGGGCUGAUACUGGAUCAACUGUUCCAGCCUUCAUGGCUGUGUUUGUGUGUGGAAUAUAAAUGUGGUGGCAACUGUGUGUGCUUUCAGACAACA